AUUCCCGUGGUGUCGAUGCCGCAGUUGUACUGAGGGCAUGAAAUCGCCCCCCUCCAUCAGCAGCUCCCCUCCCCAGAGCAGCCACAGAGGCUGGAGAGGGUGAAGGGAGUUUCAUUGCAUAAGACAUAGCUAUCAAAACAUGCUGUAAAGACUAAACCUUCUCCCUCCACUGAUGACCAGGAAAUAUCAUGUAAGUGUUGGGAUCCUGGAAGCCUGGAUGCUGUGUUUCUGGAGGCCCAGCUUUGUCACAGGCCUGCUGAUUUGUGAGCUUCUCACAGCCCCUCUGGGUAGUGCAAGAGCAGUCGGAGCUCUGCUCAGCAGGUCCAUCCAUGACAGAGGGGAAGACUCCUGCAGACGGCCUCCACCAGCAAAAGCUCUUGAUGGAGGUCGUCCUCUGAGAAAUCAGUGCUGUGAAGGACAAGUUGGGCUCUUCCUCACGGGAUGUGGUUUGGGGAAAUCCAAUUUGUUUUGAACGCAAGCUGCCCACUUGAAGGCAACCUUAACUCCCUGAGUCCCUAAGGGGUAGUCCUGUUUUUCUGUCACAUUGCAAACUUCAGAUUCAUAGUGGAACGAUCCCAAACAGGGACUGAAGGAUCUGGUCAGGGAAAGUUUGCCCUUAAGUAAUUGAAUUCAAUAAAUGUAUACAUAACCCGAGCCCUGAGAGUGUA
rnacentral:lncRNA from 1 species